rnacentral:pre_miRNA from 1 species
AAAAACACAAACCUUGGGUUUCCAUGCCAACUUUGAUUGUCCGUCUUAUAUGAUUUUUUUUAUAAUUAGUAUUUUCAUUUGAUUAAUACUUCAUGCGUGACUUAUAUUUUUAAUUUUUUUAUAAUUUUUUUAAAUAAAACAGACGGUUAAAUGUUGGACACGGAAACC